GAUCACACUCAAAACUACUCAAGAAAACUGCAUCUCAGAAGCCAAGCAGGGUCAGGCCUGGUUAGUACUUGGAUGGGAGACCACCUCAGAAUACCAGGUGCUGUAGGCG
rnacentral:rRNA from 1 species